GACGGAGGAUGCAAGCGUUAUCCGGAAUGAUUGGGCGUAAAGCGCGUGUAGGCGGCUCGGUAAGUCCGCUCUGAAAGUCCGGGGCUCAACCCCGGGAGGCGGGUGGAUACUGUCGAGCUCGAGUCCGGAAGAGGCGAGUGGAAUUCCUGGUGUAGCGGUGAAAUGCGCAGAUAUCAGGAGGAACACCGAUGGCGAAGGCAGCUCGCUGGGACGUGACUGACGCUGAGACGCGAAAGCGUGGGGAGCAAACAGG
rnacentral:rRNA from 1 species